rnacentral:rRNA from 1 species
GACGAACGCUAGCGGCAGGCCUAAUACAUGCAAGUCGAACGGUAAGGCUCCUUCGGGAGUACACGAGUGGCGCACGGGUGCGUAACACGUAUGCAACCUACCUUUCAGCGGGGGAUAGUCGCGGGAAACUGCGAAUAAUACCCCAUAUGCUCACGAGAUGGCAUCUUUUUGUGAGGAAAGCUCCGGCGCUGAGAGAUGGGCAUGCGCCCCAUUAGUUAGUUGGUGAGGUAACGGCUCACCAAGACUCCGAUGGGUAACUGGUCUGAGAGGAUGAUCAGUCACACGGGCACUGAGACACGGGCCCGACUCCUACGGGAGGCAGCAGUAAGGAAUAUUGGACAAUGGGCGCAAGCCUGAUCCAGCCAUGCCGCGUGGUGGAUGACGGCCCUCUGGGUUGUAAACACCUUUUAUGUGGGGAUAAUGUGGUUCUAUACGAAUCAUUGCAGGUACCACAUGAAUAAGCACCGGCUAACUACGUGCCAGCCGCCGCCGUAAGAC